rnacentral:rRNA from 1 species
GACGAACGCUGGCGGCGUGCUUAACACAUGCAAGUCGAACGGAAAGGCCCCUUUGGGGGUACUCGAGUGGCGAGCGGGUGAGUAACACGUGAGUAACCUGCCCUUGACUUCGGGAUAACUUCAGGAAACUGGGGCUAAUACCGGAUAGGAAUCCUUGCUGCAUGGUGGGGGUUGGAAAGCUUCGGCGGUUUUGGAUGGACUCGCGGCUUAUCAGCUUGUUGGUGGGGUAGUGGCUUACCAAGGCUUUGACGGGUAGCCGGCCUGAGAGGGCGACCGGCCACAUUGGGACUGAGAUACGGCCCAGACUCCUACGGGAGGCAGCAGUGGGGAAUAUUGCACAAUAGGCGGAAGCCUGAUGCAGCAACGCCGCGUGCGGGAUGACGGCCUUCGGGUUGUAAACCGCUUUCAGCAGGGGCGAAGCUUGUGGUGACGGUACCUGCAGAAGAAGCACCGGCUAACUACGUG